AGAUAUGAGGGCAGUAUGGCUGUGACAUCUGUCAUCUCACUGGCUCCCGGUGUGUUUAUUCAGCUGUCUCUGGCUGGCUAGAUAAAUGUCCUCCUACUCCCUCACUGUCCCACGUGUCCCCUUCCAAAGCGGCAUGCUCCAUUGAGGACGACCUUCCCCAGCAGAGAAGGGCCAUCCUUCAGUCGGGAGUGUACACAUGGCCGCAUUCCGCUGCUAGUCCCUCCAAACAAGCCCCCAAGGUCAAAUUCUGCCCAGCACAGCCUAACUGAACUAGAAACCCGUUUGUGUGACUUUGUGCUAAUAGCUCUCGAGAUGGAGGUCAUCGC
ensembl:misc_RNA 7SK 7SK RNA